rnacentral:rRNA from 1 species
GACGAACGCUGGCGGCGUGCUUAACACAUGCAAGUCGAGCGGAAACACAGGGAGCUUGCUCCCGGGUGACGAGCGGCGGACGGGUGAGUAAUGUCUGGGAAACUGCCUGAUGGAGGGGGAUAACUACUGGAAACGGUAGCUAAUACCGCAUAACGUCGCAAGACCAAAGAGGGGGACCUUCGGGCCUCUUGCCAUCAGAUGUGCCCAGAUGGGAUUAGCUAGUAGGUGGGGUAACGGCUCACCUAGGCGACGAUCCCUAGCUGGUCUGAGAGGAUGACCAGCCACACUGGAACUGGGACACGGUCCAGACUCCUACGGGAGGCAGCAGUGGGGAAUAUUGCACAAUGGGCGCAAGCCUGAUGCAGCCAUGCCGCGUGUAUGAAGAAGGCCUUCGGGUUGUAAAGUACUUUCAGCGGGGAGGAAGGCGAUAAGGUUAAUAACCUUGUCGAUUGACGUUACCCGCAGAAGAAGCACCGGCUAACUCCGUGCCAGCAGCCGCAGUAAAAC